CCUCUGUUCUCUUGCCUUGGCUUCUUCCCAAAAAGAGGGUCUGGGAGGAAUCUCCCUUCUGUAAUCCGCCUCCUCUAGGCACUCUCAGCCUCUCCCAUAAUACUGUCCAGGGAUCCUCCAUCAACACCCCUUCCCAGCCUGGCAGCAACUGACUCUUUUACCUCCUGUUCCUGCCUCAAAAGCCACCCUCUUCUUUUCCUGCCUUUUCCUCCUGGACUUUUGUCACACCCUGCAAGUUCUCAGUCAACCCUAUGUCCCUUGCUGAGCUUCUGCCACAGGUUCUGGUGCUGGCUAGGGACUCUGCUCCAUAUUCUUGUGGGAGAGGGACAGCUCUCCAGUGAGUGGGGCAUCCCUCUCACCUUCUGUCUCACAGUUACAUUUGGUAGAGGAUAUUCAGAUUAUCAGGAAACAGGUGACUACAUUAGACACAGGGGAACACUGAAAAGCUGGAUAAGUACCUUGUGUGUGCUUUCCACAAAACCAUUGCUGGAUACAACACUUCCUAUUAUGUGUAUAGUGUAUACGGACACAGGUAAGCAAACUUUAGAAACAGUACACAAUCACUUAAGAUAAGUAGGUAGAAGGAAGAGUAAUAUAUUCAUUGGACCACUAAAAUGUAAACGAUAGGUGGGUGUUUUGAGUCCAGCAAGGCUUUGCUUCAGAUUAGGCAUUGCAGAGUUUGAGAUGGGAAAACAAAUAGGAAAAUCCAAAUUUUAUCCUGACCACCUGUUGUGUCAGGAUCUGCAUUAAAGGGAUGUCUCAAGAUGUAGAGUCCAGGUGUGUUGCAUCAGCUUAAGGCAUCUGACCUCUGUUAUAAUGACUUUCUCUUCCUAUCUCUUUGGGAAAUGAAGGCUUAAGUCAUCUAGUACAUUCUCAACUAGCUGACUGACCAAAAUUCAAUUCAACAAGUUUAGACACUCUGUCUUGGGAUGCGACUGUCACAGAUCCUGACACAAUCUGGAGGGCUACUCCCUUCCCAAACUCCACAAUAUUCACCUUAAAAAGAGCUCUGCUGAACUCAAAUCUCACCUGGGUUUAGUGUUUCAAUGGCUCAACAAUUUUACCCACCCAUGUUUUGGGAUUUUGCACAAGGACCACAAGGCUUUCUACUUUCUCCACUAGUUACAAAGACCAACACGUUUUUAUGUACACUACAUAUUUAAAUCUUUAUUAUAUAAAAUACCAGGAUCUAAAAAAGCAUUUGACACAUACUCAUGUUAUAGCAUAUGUAGAUUGGAACAGAAUUUUGAGAUUCUUAGCAGUACAUCCACAGUAUCAUUUCAAGAUCAUGCUUUUAAUGAAGUAACCUACCUGAUAUUCCAAAA